rnacentral:rRNA from 1 species
GUGCCAGCCGCCGCGGUAAUACGGAGGGUGCGAGCGUUAAUCGGAAUUACUGGGCGUAAAGCGCAUGCAGGUGGUUUGUUAAGUCAGAUGUGAAAGCCCGGGGCUUAACCUCGGAAUCGCAUUUGAAACUGGCAGGCUAGAGUGCUGUAGAGGGGGGUAGAAUUCCAGGUGUAGCGGUGAAAUGCGUAGAGAUCUGGAGGAAUACCGGUGGCGAAGGCGGCCCCCUGGACAGAUACUGACACUCAGAUGCGAAAGCGUGGGGAGCAAACAGGAUUAGAUACCCCAGUAGUCC